GCAAAGCAGGUCUUGUAUAUGUUUUAUGAACAUUUUAUUUCUACAUUUUGUGUUUUCGAGUUCUCAGUUAUGUGAUGGGAAUAGAUGCUGUAGUGGAUAUAUCUGGAACCCUUCACUGAAUGUAUGCACACCAACGCAAAUGGAUAUUUCUGAAAGCAGCCGAAACUCAACGAUUGAACUCAACCCAAUCAGUGAAAUGUCACGGCAAAUACCUUCUAAAG